GAUGAAGAACGCAGCGAAAUGCGAUAAGUAGUGUGAAUUGCAGAAUUCAGUGAAUCAUCGAAUCUUUGAACGCACAUUGCGCCUUCUAGUAUUCUGGGAGGCAUGCCUGUUUGAGCGUCAUUAAACCUCUCUCAAGUAUGAUUACUUGGAUGUGAAGGAAGAGUACCUUAAACUUAAGGAGUGUUCUCCUUUGAAAUUGAUUAGCAGAUGGUAAUGUUAUUAAAUCCCUGAUGUUGUAAGAAAUAACAGUGGUUUUGUAGACUAUUAUCUAGCUUUAAAUUAUAAUUUUUAUUAUGGUUGACCUCAAAUCAGGUAAGGAUACCCGCUGAACUUAAGCAUAUCAAAUAAGCGGAGGA
rnacentral:misc_RNA from 1 species